ensembl:lncRNA LINC02006 long intergenic non-protein coding RNA 2006
UUGUUGAAUAAAAAAUAUUACAUGGAUAUCCCAGAAUUUUCUGUCCAUUUACUGGUGAUAAAAAUUGGAGUUGUUUCCAAAUAAAGUUGAUAUGAAUAUGUACGUACAAGUGUUUGAAUAGACAUAUAUUUUCAUUUAUCUUAGGUAAAUGUAUAGGAGUGGAGUGGCUAGAACAUAUAAUAGCUACAUGUUUAACUUUUUAAGAUACCAACAAACCGUUGCUGAAAGUGGUUCUACCAUUUUACAUUACCUGUCAGAAUUGUAAAAGUUUCAGUCUCUCCACAUCCUUGUUAACACUUAUUAUGAUAAGCCUUUUUCACUUUAAGCACUACUGUGAUGUCCAGUGGUAUAUCAUUGUGGUUUCAAUUUUACAUUUCUUUGAUGAAAACAAUUUGAACACAUUUUUAUGUUUUAAUAUAUUAUGCAUAUCUUUUAUUUUUGGAAAUAUAUGUUCAAAUUGUUUGCCCAAAUUGUUAUGGGGUUGCCUCGUUUCUUAGCAGUGAAUUUUGACAGUGUUUUAAGUAUUCUGAACAUGAAUCUUUUAUCAAAUAUAUAAUUUGCAAUUAUUUUCUCUUAAUCCGUAGAUUUUUUUUCAUUUCCAUCAGUGUCUUUCAAAAAGCAAAAAUGUUGGCCAGGCACGGUGGCUCAUGCCUGUAAUUCCAGCACUUUGGGAGGCCGAGGUUGGCGGAUCACGAGGGCAGGAGAUCCAGACCAUCCUGGCCAACAUGGUGAAACCCCGCCUCUACUAAAAAUACAAAAAUUAGCUGGGCGUGGUGGUGGGUGCCUGUAAUCCCAGCUACUCAGGAGGCUGAGGCAGGAGAAUUUCUUGAACCAGAUAGUCAGAGGUUGCUGUGAGCCGAGAUCAUGCCACUAUACUCCAGCCUGGUGACAGAGUGAGACUCUGUCUCCCAUGUGCAUGAGAAGCUGUUAUGUAAUAUCCGUAACUGGUUUGAAAAUCACUUGCCCAUUCAAUUCAGUUUGUCUUUACAAGCAGUUGCUCGGAGAGGUAGAUCAGUAGCCCUUUCUCAAGGAAGGGCCUGUGCUAUGAUUUCAGUGAGCUCUGUCUGAACAUGAUGUGAUCCAGUGGCUACAGGUUUGAACAACAGAGUCUUCCCCUAUCUCCUGCAAUAAAGUACAUAACAAAGAGAAGCUGAGUUAAAAUUGUUGGGGUUUAGCAUAUAUGACAAAAAAAAAAAAAGAAAUCAAUAGAAAUCUAUUCAUAAGGUAAAGUUUGGGGUGAAGACAGGUGGUUGGUGAAUAUAUAGAACAGCAACUACUUUGGGCGGUCUUGAUGCCAGGUCAAUGCCAAAGUCUACCUAUUGGUCUGAAUAAAUAUUUGCCCAUACUCACAGGCUUGGUCAGGAUUUGUGUAGAAAGUGCACAGCAGAACUGAGCCUAUGCAUUCAAAGUCCUGAGUACCCCUACAAAGGAAGAGGACACAAAUGAAAAAUAUUCCCUCAUACCAAGGAUUGUCCUGAAAUCCAAGACCAUAUUUUAUGAGAAGACAUACAUCAGAGAGAGAGAGAUUACAGUAUGCAAUCUCUCAGCUGCCAACAGAACACAGAUGGGCUUGGGAACAGAGAAUGAUCCAGAUCUGCAGGACUGGAGCAAUCCGUGGGAAGUUUGGACAGAAGAUCUGAUGCAUAAGACAGUAAAGGACUAUUGAAUGUUCCAUGAUAGAUAUGCUUGUUCUUUUGCCUGCAUGCCCUUGAAUAAAGACAUUUUGAUCUCCAGGACCAACCUGAGAAACAUAUAAUUUAAUCUAGUUUUGAAAGAAGAGCCCUGCUACACAAAUACUGGCUCACAAUGUUAAGAGAUAUCAACUGAAAUAUCAAAGGGCUUUCAUAUUUCAUUAAAUUGACUAUCCUAUGUGUUUGAUAUUUCCAUUUAAUUGAAUAUUUCUUAACUCAAUGAAAAAUGUAUGAGCCUGCUGUGAUAAAUUCGGUGUCGCAUAUGGG